GGUAGCUCAGUGGUAGAUUGUUUGCCUUGCAUGCAUGAGGCCCUGGGUUCAAUUCCCAGAACCA
rnacentral:tRNA from 1 species